rnacentral:rRNA from 1 species
CGCUGAACUUAAGCAUAUCAAUAAGCGGAGGAAAAGAAACCAACAGGGAUUGCCCCAGUAACGGCGAGUGAAGCGGCAACAGCUCAAAUUUGAAAUCUGGCCCCUAGGGCCCGAGUUGUAAUUUGCAGAGGAUGCUUUUGGCAAGGCGCCGCCCGAGUUCCCUGGAACGGGACGCCGCAGAGGGUGAGAGCCCCGUCUGGCUGGACGCCGAGCCUUUGUAAAGCUCCUUCGACGAGUCGAGUAGUUUGGGAAUGCUGCUCUAAAUGGGAGGUAUAUGUCUUCUAAAGCUAAAUAUUGGCCAGAGACCGAUAGCGCACAAGUAGAGUGAUCGAAAGAUGAAAAGCACUUUGAAAAGAGGGUUAAACAGUACGUGAAAUUGUUGAAAGGGAAGCGCUCAUGACCAGACUUGGGCUUGGCGGAUCAUCCGGCGUUCUCGCCGGUGCACUUCGCCUCGCCCAGGCCAGCAUCAGUUCGCCCCGGGGGACAAAAGCUUCGGGAAUGUGGCUCCUCCGGGAGUGUUAUAGCCCGUGGCACAAUACCCUGGGGCGGACUGAGGUUCGCGCGUCCCAAGGAUGCUGGCGUAAUGGUCAUCAGCGACCCGUCUUGAAACACGGACCAAGGAGUCGUCCUCGUAUGCGAGUGUUCGGGUGUCAAACCCCUACGCGUAAUGAAAGUGAACGCAGGUGAGAGCUUCGGCGCAUCAUCGACCGAUCCUGAUGUUCUCGGAUGGAUUUGAGUAAGAGCAUACGGGGCCGGACCCGAAAGAAGGUGAACUAUGCCUGUAUAGGGUGAAGCCAGAGGAAACUCUGGUGGAGGCUCGCAGCGGUUCUGACGUGCAAAUCGAUCGUCAAAUAUGGGCAUGGGGGCGAAAGACUAAUCGAACCUUCUAGUAGCUGGUUUCCGCCGAAGUUUCCCUCAGGAUAGCAGUGUUGAUCUCAGUUUUAUGAGGUAAAGCGAAUGAUUAGGGACUCGGGGGCACUAUUUAGCCUUCAUCCAUUCUCAAACUUUAAAUAUGUAAGAAGCCCUUGUUGCUUAAUUGAACGUGGGCAUUCGAAUGUAUCAACACUAGUGGGCCAUUUUUGGUAAGCAGAACUGGCGAUGCGGGAUGAACCGAACGCGAGGUUAAGGUGCCAGAGUAGACGCUCAUCAGACACCA